rnacentral:lncRNA from 1 species
UUGUCUGAGGCUAGUUUGGCACCAGGCCAGUGUUAAGUGCGGGCUUAGAUGCAGUGAAGACUUGAAUAGGAUAGCUGAUUUAUUAAUAGACCUAAGGCAGAGAGUGCUGCUUACUAGUCCCUAAACAGUCUGUAUACUCUGCAGAAUGAAAGCUGACAAUGAAACUGAUCUCUGGUAAGGGAAUGAGACAGCGUAUCCCGCAUGAAGAAAGUCACUCUGGGCUUGGGGGAAAGCUCAGAGAACCCUGCGGGGUUCUCCAAGGGCUGUGACUCAUAGGCCUGCACUCUGGGCCCUGGUUCAGGUCUCCUAGAGUGAGUGUCUCCUCACAGGAGAACAUCUGGGCGAUGUUACACUCAAUGCCAUCACUGGAGGCUAAGAACUUGAAAUACUGCUGUAUCUCUGGGCUGCAAGAGUCUGCAUCCUGGUGGAGUUCAACAAUUUCCAUUUCUCCAGAUGUUCCAGCCCUGUCUAAAUACCUUCGUUCUGAAUAACGGAAGGGCAUAGCGGAGUUGCUUCUGUUAUCAGGUUUUCUCCCUUGCACAAUGACAAGUAGAACACAUUGCAAAGGGCUAAGGCCAAGGAGAGGAUUUGGCAGGAGACUGACUUUUCUGAGAGCUCAACAAUCAGUGUAUUGCAGCUUCGUAAGUGGAGUUGAGCCACAAGAUGGCAAAUGGCAAAAGUAGGACAGUCCUCAAAAAUUAGGAAAAGCAAUUCCAGGACAGAGCUAUGGUCCACUGAGUCCAAUAGCCUUUGUCAGACCGGGGCCAGGAUGCUUCAGUGAAAGGAAUAAAAUCCCCCUAACGAAUUACA